GGUCACAGCCAUAUCACCCUGCUGCCUAAGACCGGUUACUCACUGAAGCUAGGCAGGGCUGAGCCUGGUCAGUACCUGGAUGGGAGACCACUAGGGAACACUAGGUUGCUGUUGGAA
rnacentral:rRNA from 1 species